rnacentral:rRNA from 1 species
CUACGGGAGGCACCAGUGAGGAAUAUUGCACAAUGGGGGAAACCCUGAUGCAGCAACGCCGCGUGGAGGAUGACGCGUUUCGGUGUGUAAACUCCUUUUAUCAGAGAAGAAAAUGACGGUAUCUGAUGAAUAAGCUCCGGCUAACUCCGUGCCAGCAGCCGCGGUAAUACGGAGGGAGCAAGCGUUAUUCGGAAUCACUGGGCGUAAAGGACGCGUAGGCGGGUUUUUAAGUCAGGUGUGAAAUCCUAUGGCUCAACCGUAGAACUGCACUUGAAACUGGGGACCUAGAGUAUGGAAGGGGCAGGUGGAAUUAGUGGUGUAGGGGUAAAAUCCGUAGAUAUCACUAGGAAUACCGAAAGCGAAGGCGACCUGCUGGGACAUUACUGACGCUGAGGCGUGAAAGCGUGGGGAGCAAACAGGAUUAGAUACCCCAGUAGUC